rnacentral:miRNA from 1 species
UGGUCAUUGCGCUACGCACAAAGA